UGGGGAAUAUUGGACAAUGGGCGAAAGCCUGAUCCAGCAAUGCCGCGUGGGUGAAGAAGGUCUUCGGAUUGUAAAGCCCUUUCGGCGGGGACGAUGAUGACGGUACCCGCAGAAGAAGCUCCGGCUAACUUCGUGCCAGCAGCCGCGGUAAUACGAAGGGGGCUAGCGUUGCUCGGAAUGACGGGGCGUAAAGGGCGAGUAGGCGGUUUAGUGAGUUGGGCGUGAAAUUCCCGGGCUUAACCUGGGGGCUGCGUUCGAUACCACUAGGCUUGAGUGUGGAAGAGGGUCGUGGAAUUCCCAGUGUAGAGGUGAAAUUCGUAGAUAUUGGGAAGAACACCGGUGGCGAAGGCGGCGACCUGGUCCAUUACUGACGCUGAGGCGCGAAAGCGUGGGGAGCAAACAGG
rnacentral:rRNA from 2 species